GCUACCGUAGUUUACUUAAACCGUAACCCUGAAGAGGUUAAAAUGAGCCCUAGAAAGCUCCGGAGGCA
rnacentral:tRNA from 1 species